rnacentral:lncRNA from 1 species
GUGGGCGGAGCCGGAGGGCUCGACAGCGACGGAGAUGGAGCCGGAGACGUCGGCUUCGACGGAGCAGGAACUGGAACCGCAGCUGGAGGGGAAGCAAGCGGAGCCGGCGUAGGUGCAACCGGUGGGGGCGGGGAAAGCACAGGAGGCGGCGGAGAAGCUGGAGGAGGAACGGCCGGCGGAGGGGUUGCAGGCGGCGGCGUGCUCACCGGGGGAGGCGCGGUGACGGGCGGCGGUGUUGAAACCGGAGGCGGCGUUGCUGCAGGAGGCGGAGAAGUAACCACCGGGGGUGGCGCGGAGACAGGCGGCGGCGUUGCUGCUGGCGGCGUCGGUGUGGUCACGGGAGGCGGAGACGCGGUGGGAGGAGUGGGAGUGGGCGGAGCAGGAGUGGUAGGAGUAGGCGGAGCAGGAGUGGCGGUCGGAGAAGUAGCCGGAGAUUGGCCGCUGACGACGGCGACGGCAAUGCAGAUCACGGCAGUGAAGACUAGCAGGUUGGGAGCCAUUUUUCGAAGUAAAUGCGCUUGCUGCUAAGCUCGGCUUAACGUGCG